rnacentral:rRNA from 1 species
AUGAGCUUCCUAUGCUCACUUGUCACCCUCCUGCUGAUCGUAGCUGUGAGCGCGGACGAUGAGGCUGCGUUGCUUGCUUUCAAAGCUCAGCUCAGCCAUGGCGGCUCGCUGGCCUCCUGGAACAGCAGCGCUGGCUUCUGCAGCUGGGAAGGCGUGACGUGCCACCGCACGCCAGCACGGGUGGUGGCACUGAGAUUGUCCAGCACCGGUCUCGCUGGAACGCUCUCCCCGGCCAUCGGGAACCUCUCGUUCCUGCGGACGCUCGAUCUGAGCUCCAACUCUUUCCACGGGGACAUUCCAGCGAGCCUCGGCCGCCUCCGGCGCCUGCAGAAGCUCAUCUUAUACGACAACUCCUUCUCAGGCACAUUGCCAGUGAACCUGAGCUCCUGCGUUAGCAUCACCGAAAUGAAUCUGGACAACAACACCCUUGGCGGGCGGAUCCCGGCUGAGCUCGGCGAGAAGCUCACGUACCUCUCACUGAGACAGAACAGCUUCACAGGGCUCAUCCCCGCGUCACUUGGCAAUAUGUCCCAUCUACAACUCCUCGAUCUCACCACCAACCAGCUCGUGGGCUCAAUCCCAUCAGGCCUCGGAAGCAUCCAGAGCAUGAUAUAUUUCAGUGUCGCAGUUAACCUCGUCACUGGUAUGAUUCCACAUUCUCUCUACAAUUGGUCAUCGCUGGAAGUAUUUAGUGUAGGGGGGAAUAUGCUAGACGGAAGCAUUCCGGAUGACAUUGCAAGCAAGUUUCCCAAGUUGAAAUAUCUUGCUUUGGGUAGUAAUCACUUCACAGGAAUCAUCCCUUCCUCAAUAUCCAACAUAUCUUCCCUCAUAUUACUUGACCUCGUGGACAACAGAUUUAGUGGGUAUGUGCCUCCCACAUUGGGGGGGCUCAAAGCUCUCCAAUCUGUCAACUUGGGUGAGAAUAAUCUUGAAGCGAAUGAUAACAGGGGUUGGGAAUUCGUCGCAUCUUUGGCAAACUGCAGCCAACUGCGGUUUUUGGUAUUAUACACGAAUUCUUUCGGAGGACAACUACCGGGUUCAAUUGUGAACCUCUCAACAACUCUCCAGCAGUUAAACUUGAUGGAUAAUAGGAUCUCUGGGAGUAUCCCUGCAGAUAUCGGUAAUUUGAUUGGGCUGGAAAGACUUGCGAUAGGAUAUACUGGCAUGUACGGAGUGAUUCCAGAGAGCAUUGGCAAGCUAGCGAACUUGAUCGAGCUUGUCUUGUGCAACAAUAGCUUGUCUGGGCUCAUACCAUCAUCGCUAGGAAACCUUUCGCGGUUGAAUAGGCUUGAUGCAAGUGAAGGCAACUUGGAGGGGCCAAUUCCGGUAAGCCUAGGGGAGUUGAAAAACCUCUUUGUACUAGAUUUGUCCAACAAUUACCAUCUUAACGGUUCGGUACCCAGAGAGAUUUUCAAAUUACCCGGCCUUUCUUGGUAUUUGAACUUGUCAUACAAUUCCCUUUCUGGACCCAUUCCUAAUGAAGUUGGUAGUUUAGCAAAUCUUAACGAAUUAGUUCUAUCAGGAAACCAGUUGUCUGGAAAGAUACCUGACAGUAUUCAGAAUUGUGUGGUAUUGGAAUGGUUAUUAUUAGACAGUAAUUCAUUUGAGGGAAGCAUACCUAAGUCAUUGAAGAAUAUAAAGGGGCUCCGUACACUGAACCUGACCAUGAAUAAUUUCUCUGGUAAUAUUCCUGAGGCCCUUGGCAGUAUUGGAAACCUGCAAGAACUGUACCUAGCACACAACAACUUGUCAGGGUCAAUCACAUCAGUUCUACAGGAUUUGACAAGAUUGUCUGAACUGGAUAUAUCCUUCAAUAAUUUGCAAGGUGAGGUGCCAAGUGAAGGUGUUUUUAGAAACAUCACCUACUUAGCGGUUGUUGGGAAUAUCAAUUUGUGUGGUGGUACACCUCAACUUUAUUUGGCUCCAUGCUCCAAAAGCCCCUUAAGCAAGAACAAAAAAAAGAUGCCAAUGUCUCUUGUAAUUUUCCUAGCUAUAGCUGGAGCAAUCUUGUUCUUAUUUUCAGUUAUUCUUAUUGUUUGGAUACUUUCCAAGAAGCUCAAACCAAGCCAGAAUACAUUAGCACACAAUUCAAUUGCUGAUGACCAUUAUGAGAGAAUCCCCUAUCAGGCAUUAAUGAGAGGAACUGACGGAUUUUCAGAAGUUAACUUGCUUGGCAGAGGAAGUUAUGGUGUGGUUUAUAAGUGUGUUUUGGACACUGAAGAAAGAACAUUUGCUGUCAAAGUAUUUGCUAGGUAUUCCAAGAGUUUUGAGGCUGAAUGUGAGGCCAUGAGAAGGAUACGACACCGUUGUAUCAUUAAGAUCAUUACUUCUUGUUCGAGCGUCAAUCACCAAGGUCAAGAGUUCAAGGCAUUGGUUUUUGAGUUCAUGCCCAAUGGUAACUUGGAUGGAUGGCUUCAUAAAAAAUCGCAAGAGCCCACAAGAAACAACACACUCAACCUUUCCCAGAGGCUUGAUAUUGCUGUAGAUAUUGUGGACGCAAUAGAAUAUCUGCACAACUACUGCCAACCAUUGGUAAUCCAUUGCGAUCUUAAGCCUAGCAACAUUCUUCUUGCGGAAGAUAUGAGCGCACGAGUUGGAGACUUUGGCAUAUCAAGGAUCUUUGAAGAAAAGACAAGCAAGGGGAUGCAAACUUCAUAUAGCUCAACUCGAAUUAGAGGAACCAUAGGCUAUGUUGCUCCAGAGUACGGAGAAGGCUCCGCGGUUUCAGCAGCCAGUGACAUUUAUAGUCUUGGCAUAUUGUUGCUUGAGAUGUUUACCGGGAGGAGCCCAACAGAAGUCACUUUCAGGGAUUCGUUGGAUCUGCAUAAGUUUGCCGAGGAUGCUCUUCCGGAUAGAGCCCUGGAGAUAGCUGAUCCGACAAUGUGGCUGCACAGAGGACAACAUGAUGGCACUACAAGUAUUAGAAUCCAUGAGUUAUUGGCUUCAGUAUUCAGACUUGGCAUAUCCUGCUCAAAGCAACAGCCUCGGGACCGGGCAUUGACGAGAGAUGCAGCGACAGAAAUGCACGCAAUCAGAGAUGCAUACCUCAAGUUUAUAGGGGAGCGUGGAGCAGAAAGAGAAGUCUCGACUCAAGAAAUUCAGAACAUUGUUGAAUAA